rnacentral:rRNA from 1 species
AACGAACGCUGGCGGCAUGCCUAACACAUGCAGGUCGAACGAGACCUUCGGGUCUAGUGGCGCACGGGUGCGUAACGCGUGGGAACCUGCCCUUAGGUUCGGAAUAACUCCCCGAAAGGGGUGCUAAUACCGGAUAAUGCCUUCGGACCAAAGAUUUAUCGCCUUUGGAUGGGCCCGCGUUGGAUUAGCUAGUUGGUAGGGUAAAAGCCUACCAAGGCGACGAUCCAUAGCUGGUCUGAGAGGAUGAUCAGCCACACUGGGACUGAGACACGGCCCAGACUCCUACGGGAGGCAGCAGUGGGGAAUAUUGGACAAUGGGCGAAAGCCUGAUCCAGCAAUGCCGCGUGAGUGAUGAAGGCCUUAGGGUUGUAAAGCUCUUUUACCCGGGAUGAUAAUGACAGUACCGGGAGAAUAAGCUCCGGCUAACUCCGUG